AAUCCUUUCAGGGAGAUGGUCCUCCUUGUAACUAUGGACACAUAAGAGGUGCAGUGGUAUCAUAGGAAGGUUAAUAGAGAAAAUAGUUUUUUGUAUGUGGCAGAUGUGUGUAGGUACAAUGAACACUAAGAAUGUACAGAAAAUAAACUCCCUCAAAUA